CACGUAGGGGGCGAGCGUUGUCCGGAUUUAUUGGGCGUAAAGAGCUCGUAGGCGGUUCGGUAAGUCAGCUGUGAAAUCUCCACGCUCAACGUGGAGGGGUCAGCUGAUACUGCCGUGACUUGAGUCUGGUAGGGGAGUGCGGAAUUCCCGGUGUAGCGGUGAAAUGCGCAGAUAUCGGGAGGAACACCAGUGGCGAAGGCGGAGCACUCUGGGCCAGUACUGGACGCUGAGGAGCG
rnacentral:rRNA from 1 species